UCAAAGCUAUGUUCAAUAAAC
ensembl:piRNA 21ur-13443 ncRNA